UUAAGCGACUAAGCGUACACGGUGGAUGCCCUGGCAGUCAGAGGCGAUGAAGGACGUGCUAAUCUGCGAUAAGCGUCGGUAAGGUGAUAUGAACCGUUAUAACCGGCGAUUUCCGAAUGGGGAAACCCAGUGUGUUUCGACACACUAUCAUUAACUGAAUCCAUAGGUUAAUGAGGCGAACCGGGGGAACUGAAACAUCUAAGUACCCCGAGGAAAAGAAAUCAACCGAGAUUCCCCCAGUAGCGGCGAGCGAACGGGGAGCAGCCCAGAGCCUGAAUCAGUGUGUGUGUUAGUGGAAGCGUCUGGAAAGGCGUGCGAUACAGGGUGACAGCCCCGUACACAAAAAUGCACAUACUGUGAGCUCGAUGAGUAGGGCGGGACACGUGGUAUCCUGUCUGAAUAUGGGGGGACCAUCCUCCAAGGCUAAAUACUCCUGACUGACCGAUAGUGAACCAGUACCGUGAGGGAAAGGCGAAAAGAACCCCGGCGAGGGGAGUGAAAAAGAACCUGAAACCGUGUACGUACAAGCAGUGGGAGCACGCUUAGGCGUGUGACUGCGUACCUUUUGUAUAAUGGGUCAGCGACUUAUAUUCUGUAGCAAGGUUAACCGAAUAGGGGAGCCGAAGGGAAACCGAGUCUUAACUGGGCGUUAAGUUGCAGGGUAUAGACCCGAAACCCGGUGAUCUAGCCAUGGGCAGGUUGAAGGUUGGGUAACACUAACUGGAGGACCGAACCGACUAAUGUUGAAAAAUUAGCGGAUGACUUGUGGCUGGGGGUGAAAGGCCAAUCAAACCGGGAGAUAGCUGGUUCUCCCCGAAAGCUAUUUAGGUAGCGCCUCGUGAAUUCAUCUCCGGGGGUAGAGCACUGUUUCGGCAAGGGGGUCAUCCCGACUUACCAACCCGAUGCAAACUGCGAAUACCGGAGAAUGUUAUCACGGGAGACACACGGCGGGUGCUAACGUCCGUCGUGAAGAGGGAAACAACCCAGACCGCCAGCUAAGGUCCCAAAGUCAUGGUUAAGUGGGAAACGAUGUGGGAAGGCCCAGACAGCCAGGAUGUUGGCUUAGAAGCAGCCAUCAUUUAAAGAAAGCGUAAUAGCUCACUGGUCGAGUCGGCCUGCGCGGAAGAUGUAACGGGGCUAAACCAUGCACCGAAGCUGCGGCAGCGACGCUUAUGCGUUGUUGGGUAGGGGAGCGUUCUGUAAGCCUGUGAAGGUGUGCUGUGAGGCAUGCUGGAGGUAUCAGAAGUGCGAAUGCUGACAUAAGUAACGAUAAAGCGGGUGAAAAGCCCGCUCGCCGGAAGACCAAGGGUUCCUGUCCAACGUUAAUCGGGGCAGGGUGAGUCGACCCCUAAGGCGAGGCCGAAAGGCGUAGUCGAUGGGAAACAGGUUAAUAUUCCUGUACUUGGUGUUACUGCGAAGGGGGGACGGAGAAGGCUAUGUUGGCCGGGCGACGGUUGUCCCGGUUUAAGCGUGUAGGCUGGUUUUCCAGGCAAAUCCGGAAAAUCAAGGCUGAGGCGUGAUGACGAGGCACUACGGUGCUGAAGCAACAAAUGCCCUGCUUCCAGGAAAAGCCUCUAAGCAUCAGGUAACAUCAAAUCGUACCCCAAACCGACACAGGUGGUCAGGUAGAGAAUACCAAGGCGCUUGAGAGAACUCGGGUGAAGGAACUAGGCAAAAUGGUGCCGUAACUUCGGGAGAAGGCACGCUGAUAUGUAGGUGAAGCGACUUGCUCGUGGAGCUGAAAUCAGUCGAAGAUACCAGCUGGCUGCAACUGUUUAUUAAAAACACAGCACUGUGCAAACACGAAAGUGGACGUAUACGGUGUGACGCCUGCCCGGUGCCGGAAGGUUAAUUGAUGGGGUCAGCGCAAGCGAAGCUCUUGAUCGAAGCCCCGGUAAACGGCGGCCGUAACUAUAACGGUCCUAAGGUAGCGAAAUUCCUUGUCGGGUAAGUUCCGACCUGCACGAAUGGCGUAAUGAUGGCCAGGCUGUCUCCACCCGAGACUCAGUGAAAUUGAACUCGCUGUGAAGAUGCAGUGUACCCGCGGCAAGACGGAAAGACCCCGUGAACCUUUACUAUAGCUUGACACUGAACAUUGAGCCUUGAUGUGUAGGAUAGGUGGGAGGCUUGGAAGUGUGGACGCCAGUCUGCAUGGAGCCGACCUUGAAAUACCACCCUUUAAUGUUUGAUGUUCUAACGUGGACCCGUAAUCCGGGUUGCGGACAGUGUCUGGUGGGUAGUUUGACUGGGGCGGUCUCCUCCUAAAGAGUAACGGAGGAGCACGAAGGUUGGCUAAUCCUGGUCGGACAUCAGGAGGUUAGUGCAAUGGCAUAAGCCAGCUUGACUGCGAGCGUGACGGCGCGAGCAGGUGCGAAAGCAGGUCAUAGUGAUCCGGUGGUUCUGAAUGGAAGGGCCAUCGCUCAACGGAUAAAAGGUACUCCGGGGAUAACAGGCUGAUACCGCCCAAGAGUUCAUAUCGACGGCGGUGUUUGGCACCUCGAUGUCGGCUCAUCACAUCCUGGGGCUGAAGUAGGUCCCAAGGGUAUGGCUGUUCGCCAUUUAAAGUGGUACGCGAGCUGGGUUUAGAACGUCGUGAGACAGUUCGGUCCCUAUCUGCCGUGGGCGCUGGAGAACUGAGGGGGGCUGCUCCUAGUACGAGAGGACCGGAGUGGACGCAUCACUGGUGUUCGGGUUGUCAUGCCAAUGGCACUGCCCGGUAGCUAAAUGCGGAAGAGAUAAGUGCUGAAAGCAUCUAAGCACGAAACUUGCCCCGAGAUGAGUUCUCCCUGACCCUUUAAGGGUCCUGAAGGAACGUUGAAGACGACGACGUUGAUAGGCCGGGUGUGUAAGCGCAGCGAUGCGUUGAGCUAACCGGUACUAAUGAACCGUGAGGCUUAACCUU
rnacentral:rRNA from 1 species